UACAGAGGAGCCAAGCGUUGUCCGGAUUGACUGGGCGUAAAGCGCACGCAGGCGGUUGGGCGCGUGGGGUGUGAAAUCUGGCCGCUUAACGGCCAGGCGCCAUCCCAUACGGCUCGACUGGAGUGAUGCAGAGGUCGGUGGAAUUGCCGGUGUAGUGGUGAAAUGCGCAGAUAUCAGGAGGAACACCGAUGGCGAAGGCAGCUCGCUGGGACGGUACUGACGCUGAGGCGCGAAAGCGUGGGGAUCAAACAGG
rnacentral:rRNA from 1 species